GACGAACGCUGGCGGCGUGCCUAAUACAUGCAAGUCGAACGCAGUGGGGACGGGGGAGUAACACGUGGGUAACCUCCCAACAGAGGGGAUAACACUUGGAAACAGGUGCUAAACCGAUACUGAUGGAUGGACCCGGGGGGCAUUAGCUAGUGGGGGAGGUAACGGCUCCCAAAGGCCACGAGGCAUAGCCGACCGGAGGGGGGACUCGGCCACACGGGAACUGGGACACGGCCCAGACUCCAACGGGGGGCAGAAGUAGGAAAUCUUCGGAAAUGGACGAAAGUCUGACCGGGAAACGCCGCGUGAGUGAAGAAGGUUUUCGGAUCUAAAAACUCUGUUGUUAGAGAAGCGGUAUCUACCAGAAAGCCACGGCUAACUACGUGCCAGCAGCCGCGGUAAUUC
rnacentral:rRNA from 1 species